AUUGAACGCUGGCGGCAGGCCUACCACAUGCAAGUCGAACGAGUGGCGGACGGGUGAGUAAUGUCUGGGAAACUGCCUGAUGGAGGGGGAUAACUACUGGAAACGUUAGCUAAUACCGCAUACCAUCAGAUGUGCCCAGAUGGGAUUAGCUUGUUGGUGGGGUAACGGCUCACCAAGACGACGAUCCCUAGCUGGUCUGAGAGGAUGACCAGCCACACUGGGACUGAGACACGGUGCAGACGCCUACGGGAGGCAGCAGUGGGGAAUAUUGCACAAUGGGCGCAAGCCUGAUACAGCCAUGCCGCGUGUAUGAAGAAGGCCUUCGGGUUGUAAAGUUCUGUCAGCGGGGAGGCGUUACCCGCAGAAGAAGCACCGGCUAACUCCGUGCCAGCAGCCGCGGUAAUUC
rnacentral:rRNA from 1 species